UACGGAGGAGGCAAGCGUUAUCCGGAAUUAUUGGGCGUAGAGCGUCCGUAGGUGGUUUAGUAAGUCUGCUGUUAAAGCGCGGGGCUUAACUCCGUAUCGGCAGUGGAAACUACUAGACUAGAGUGUGGUAGGGGUAGAGGGAAUUCCCAGUGUAGCGGUGAAAUGCGUAGAUAUUGGGAAGAACACCGGUGGCGAAGGCGCUCUACUGGGCCAUAACUGACACUGAUGGACGAAAGCUAGGGGAGCGAAAGGG
rnacentral:rRNA from 1 species